rnacentral:rRNA from 1 species
UCUGGUUCAGGACGAACGCUGGCGGCGUGCCUAAUACAUGCAAGUCGAACGGUCUUUCUAUGGAAGCUUGCUUCCACUGAGAAGAUAGUGGCGAAACGGGUGAGUAACACGUGGGUAACCUGCCCAUAAGAGGGGGAUAACAUCCGGAAACGGGUGCUAAUACCGCAUAGUUUCUUGAUCGCAUGAUUGAGAAAGGAAAGACGGCCUUUGUGCUGUCGCUUAUGGAUGGACCCGCGGCGUAUUAGUUAGUUGGUGAGGUAACGGCUCACCAAGACGAUGAUACGUAGCCGACCUGAGAGGGUGAUCGGCCACAUUGGGACUGAGACACGGCCCAAACUCCUACGGGAGGCAGCAGUAGGGAAUCUUCCGCAAUGGACGAAAGUCUGACGGAGCAACGCCGCGUGAGUGAAAGAAGGUUUUCGGAUCGUAAAACUCUGUUGUCAGAGAAGAACAAGUUGGAGAGUAACUGCUCCAGCCUUGACGGUAUCUGACCAGAAAGCCACGGCUAACUACGUGCCAGCCGCCGC